rnacentral:SRP_RNA from 1 species
CGGCUGUAACGGUCACAAAGCGAGAAGACCUCUACAUCCCAGAACUUCUCACCCAUCUCAUCCCUUCCGGGGUACUACCCGCGGUGCCCAGUUCGAACAUGGCGGUGGCUCCCCACUCGUGCAGGUAACUCACGAUCGCUGGACUCAGGGGCCUUGAGCAAUGAAGAAUACUUCUCGAGGGAGGCUUCACUCUGCAGAGAGAUCUUCACCGUGGUGUGGCGGUAUUGGAUUACACUUGCGCGGUGGUUUGGGUGUGGUGUUUGGGUUGAGUGUCGACUUAAAUUUUUUUU